UACGGAGGGUGCAAGCAUUGAUCGGAAUUACUGGGCGUAAAGGGCGCGUAGGCGGUGAGAUAAGUCAGAUGUGAAAUUCCGGGGCUCAACCCCGGAGCUGCAUUUGAAACUAUCUCGCUAGAAGUCAGUUAGGGAAAACGGAAUUCCACGUGUAGCGGUGAAAUGCGUAGAUAUGUGGAAGAACACCAGUGGUGAAGACGGUUUUCUGGGCUGAACCUGACGCUGAGGCGCGAAAGCAAGGGGAGCAAACAGG
rnacentral:rRNA from 1 species